UACGUAGGGGGCAAGCGUUAUCCGGAUUUACUGGGUGUAAAGGGAGCGUAGGCGGCUUAGUAAGUCAGAAGUGAAAGCCCGCAGCUCAACUGCGGGACUGCUUUUGAAACUGCCAAGCUAGAGUGUCGGAGAGGUAAGUGGAAUUCCUAGUGUAGCGGUGAAAUGCGUAGAUAUUAGGAGGAACACCAGUGGCGAAGGCAGCUUACUAAGCCAUAACUGACACUGAAGCACGAAAGCGUGGGGAUCAAACAGG
rnacentral:rRNA from 1 species